rnacentral:rRNA from 1 species
AACGAACGCUGGCGGCAUGCCUAACACAUGCAAGUCGAACGAGACCUUCGGGUCUAGUGGCGCACGUGUGCGUAACGCGUGGGAACCUGCCCUUAGGUUCGGAAUAACUCCCCGUAGGGGGUCCUAAUACCGGUUAAUGUCAUCGGACCAAAGAUGUAUCGCCUUUGGAUGGGCCCGUGUUGGAUUAGCCAGUUGGUAGUGUACAAGCCUACCAAGGCGACGAUGCAUAGCUGGUCUGAGAGGAUGAUCAGCUACACUGGAACUGAGACACGGCCCAGAACCCUACGGGGAGCAGCAGUGGGGAAUAUUGGGCAAUGGGCGAAAGCCUAAUCAAGCAAUGCCGCGUGAGUGAUGAAGGGCUUAGGGUUGUAAAGCUCUUUUACCCGGGAUGAGAAUGACAGUACCGGGAGAAUAAGCACCGGCUAACUACGUG